CCUACGGGUGGCAGCAGUGGGGAAUAUUGGACAAUGGGGGCAACCCUGAUCCAGCCAUGCCGCGUGUGUGAAGAAGGCCCUCGGGUUGUAAAGCACUUUCAGUGAGGAAGAACGCCUGGUGGUUAAUACCCAUCAGGAAAGACAUCACUCACAGAAGAAGCACCGGCUAACUCCGUGCCAGCAGCCGCGGUAAUACGGAGGGUGCGAGCGUUAAUCGGAAUUACUGGGCGUAAAGCGCGCGUAGGUGGCUUGAUAAGCCGGUUGUGAAAGCCCCGGGCUGAACCUGGGAACGGCAUCCGGAACUGGCAAGCUAGAGUGCAGGAGAGGAAGGUAGAAUUCCCGGUGUAGCGGUGAAAUGCGUAGAGAUCGGGAGGAAUACCAGUGGCGAAGGCGGCCUUCUGGACUGACACUGACACUGAGGUGCGAAAGCGUGGGUAGCAAACAGGAUUAGAUACCCCGGUAGUC
rnacentral:rRNA from 1 species